rnacentral:misc_RNA from 1 species
GAUGAAGAACGCAGCGAAAUGCGAUACUUGGUGUGAAUUGCAGAAUCCCGUGAACCAUCGAGUCUUUGAACGCAAGUUGCGCCUCAAGCCAUUAGGUUGAGGGCACGUCUGCCUGGGCGUCACAUAUCGUUGCCUGAUGCCAGUUUCCUCGUGAUGGGUGACUGUGCAGGGCGAAUGAUGGCUUCCCGUGUGCAUUGUUGCCUCAUGGUUGGUUGAAAAUUGAGUCCUUGGUAGGGAGCGCCGUGAUAGAUGGUGGUUGAGUGACGAACGAGACCCAAUCAUGUGAGACCCCUACCGAAUUUGGCCUUCAUGACCCACAUGCGUCUUUGGAACGCUCAUGACGAGACCUCAGGUCAGGCGGGGCUACCCGCUGAGUUUAAGCAUAUCAAUAAGCGGAGGA